AUUGAACGCUGGCGGAAUGCUUUACACAUGCAAGUCGAACGGCAGCACGGGAGCUUGCUCCUGGUGGCGAGUGGCGAACGGGUGAGUAAUGCAUCGGAACGUACCCAUGAGUGGGGGAUAACUGUCCGAAAGGACAGCUAAUACCGCAUAAGCCCUGAGGGGGAAAGCGGGGGAUCCGAGGGUAACUGAGGACCUCGCGCUGAUGGAGCGGCCGAUGUUGGAUUAGCUAGUUGGUGGGGUAAAGGCCUACCAAGGCGACGAUCCAUAGCUGGUCUGAGAGGAUGAUCAGCCACACUGGGACUGAGACACGACCCAGACUCCUACGGGAGGCAGCAGUGGGGAAUUUUGGACAAUGGGGGCAACCCUGAUCCAGCCAUUCCGCGUGAGUGAAGAAGGCCUUCGGGUUGUAAAGCUCUUUCGGCAGGAACGAAACGGUGGCCCCUAAUACGGGUUGCUAAUGACGGUACCUGAAGAAGAAGCACCGGCUAACUACGUGCCAGCAGCCGCCGUAAGAC
rnacentral:rRNA from 1 species